ACUGUCUUUUAGUUCAGACGCAAUAGCAUGUUAUGGAUUUGUUGGUGCAGAGUUUCAUGUUUGGGUUAUCUUUGUUAUGUUCACUAGUUUUGCUUGGAAUAUUUCAGUAAUAACAUCGUCUUUCAAUUUUAUUUGUUAUGUUUUAUUUCUAGAUUAAUCAAUGGAAUGCAGCACUUUCAAUAGCAUUAUGAUAUGAAUGUAUUUUAAUGUAUUUGAUAUUUAAGUUUAAUGAAUUGUAAUCUUCCUAGUAGUUGUAUGUGAAAUGAUUGCAAAUUAUCUGAUUUUCU
rnacentral:lncRNA from 1 species